AUAGCCGAGGGUGUGGAAGUGUUGUCGUUGCCCAAGUGACAGAGGGGACAAGACAAAGGCAAGGGCAAAGCUCACAAUUACAAUGUCAUUCCAACAAACACAGAUACAUUUGUAACUCCUUUUGGGACACAAGCAAAACCAAAUUUAUCUUGGGCACGCAUGGCCAAGAUGGUAAGCUAGCCUGGCCUACUUGGAUCUGAGUGUUGAUCAAACGUAAAAUGAAAUGGUUUUUACGUAUUAGUGACGCAUAUUGGCUGUUAAGCCACACACGGACCUCUUUUUGGCCCAAAGACCACACCGAAGAAACUCUUAAGCCCAGCGUCAAACUUUGUGGCAUUGUUGUGUGUCCUUGGAGAAUAAUGCUGACAAGCAAACGAACAACAGCAACAACAACAAGGACGAUAGCUAGCCGCAACUACAACUACAACUACACAGUUGCCAGGAUAAGCGGGAGGGAAAACUGAAACUGGAAAUCAAAGAUAUGCAAAUUGAAACAGAUAUUUUUGCUUAUAGAAAUUCAUCGCUUUCCCUGCAUAAGUGAAUGUGUGUAUAUGUGUGUGUUUCAUGUAUUUUAUAUUGGAGCAGCAGGCGCUAUUACAACAUUUCCCAGAAGUGGCAGACCACUGCCUGGUUCAGCUUCUGCAAAAUACUUGGCAAAUACAAUAAAAAAAAUUCUUUUUUGCUUUA